UGAGCAAUCUGCCCUUCUCUUUGGAAUAAGCGUUGGAAACGACGUCUAAUGCCGAAUACGACCUCCUUUCGCAUGAUCGGAGGUGGAAAGCUCCGGCGGAGAAGGAUGAGCUCGCGGCCUAUCAGCUAGUUGGUGUGGGUAAUGGCCCACCAAGGCGACGACGGGUAGCCGGCCUGAGAGGGUGAUCGGCCACACUGGGACUGAGACACGGCCCAGACUCCUACGGGAGCAG
rnacentral:rRNA from 1 species